CAACUUCGGCAGACUGUGUGUUGGCUCGGGCGCUUUAAAGACUUUGUCGUAAACGAUUUAUUGUUUGUUUGAGCUUUUCGCAUACGCAAUCCGGCGAACAAUACUCUCAAAGUUUGACCUCAAAUCAGGUAGGAAUACCCGCUGAACUUAAGCAUAUCAAUAAGCGGAGGAAAAGAAACCAACCGGGAUUGCCUUAGUAACGGCGAGUGAAGCGGCAAAAGCUCAAAUUUGAAAUCUGGUACCUUCGGUGCCCGAGUUGUAAUUUGUAGAAGGUAACUUUGGGGCUGGUCCUUGUCUAUGUUCCUUGGAACAGGACGUCAUAGAGGGUGAGAAUCCCGUGUGGCGAGGAUCCCAGUUCUUUGUAAAGUGCUUUCGAAGAGUCGAGUUGUUUGGGAAUGCAGCUCUAAGUGGGUGGUAAAUUCCAUCUAAAGCUAAAUAUUGGCGAGAGACCGAUAGCGAACAAGUACAGUGAUGGAAAGAUGAAAAGAACUUUGAAAAGAGAGUGAAAAAGUACGUGAAAUUGUUGAAAGGGAAGGGCAUUUGAUCAGACAUGGUGUUUUGCGCCCUCUGCUCCUUGUGGGUGGGGGAAUCUCGCAGCUCACUGGGCCAGCAUCAGUUUUGGCGGCAGGAUAAAUCUGCAGGAAUGUAGCUUGCCUCGGUAAGUGUUAUAUCCUGUAGAAAUACUGCCAGCUGGGACUGAGGACUGCGACUU
rnacentral:rRNA from 1 species